rnacentral:rRNA from 1 species
UACGUAGGCAGCAAGCGUUGUUCGGAAUUACUGGGCGUAAAGAGUGUGUAGGCGGUGCUCUAAGUUUGGUGUGAAAUCUCCCGGCUCAACUGGGAGGGUGCAUCGAAAACUGGAAUGCUAGAGGGUGGGAGAGGUAAGCGGAAUUCCUGGUGUAGCGGUGAAAUGCGUAGAUAUCAGGAGGAACACCUGUGGUGUAGACAGCUUACUGGACCAUUUCUGACGCUGAGACACGAAAGCGUGGGGAGCGAACAGG